rnacentral:rRNA from 1 species
UACGAAGGGGGCUAGCGUUGCUCGGAAUCACUGGGCGUAAAGGGUGCGUAGGCGGGUCUUUAAGUCAGGGGGGAAAUCCCGGGGCUCAACCCCGGAACUGCCUUUGAUACUGGCAUUCUCGAGUCCGGAAGAGGUGAGUGGAAUUCCGAGUGUAGAGGUGAAAUUCGUAGAUAUUCGGAGGAACACCAGUGGCGAAGGCGGCUCACUGGUCCGGUACUGACGCUGAGGUGCGAAAGCGUGGGGAGCAAACAGG